rnacentral:rRNA from 1 species
GACGAACGCUGGCGGCAUGCCUAAUACAUGCAAGUCGAACGCGACCAGCCGGUGCUUGCACUGGCGAAGUCGAGUGGCGAACGGGUGAGUAACACGUGAGAAACCUACCCUGGAGUGGGGAAUAACUCGAAGAAAUUCGAGCUAAUACCGCAUACCUUCUUACCGUCGAAUGGUGGUUUGAAGAAAGAUUUAUCGCUCUGGGAGGGUCUCGCGGCCUAUCAGCUAGUUGGUGAGGUAACGGCUCACCAAGGCAUCGACGGGUAGCUGGUCUGAGAGGACGAUCAGCCACACUGGAACUGAGACACGGUCCAGACUCCUACGGGAGGCAGCAGUAGGGAAUCUUGCGCAAUGGGCGAAAGCCUGACGCAGCAAUGCCGCGUGCGGGACGAAGGCCCUAGGGUCGUAAACCGCUUUCAGUAGGGACGGAAAAUAGACGGUACCGUACGUCAGAAGAAGAC